GCCUCAUUCUUCUUUAGGCGAGGCUGCCUUCAAGAGGUACAGGUAGGCGCACUGAAGCACACUGAUUCUCUGGGCGCAGCGGGUCACGCCUUGAAACUUUUGAAGCUGUUAAGAAAUAAAACGUAGCCAGAACCAGCCCCAGCACACUUCCAGCAAUCCAGCCUUCGACAGUUCGAGUCGCACCAGCCCUAGCCCUUCAUCUUCGACCCUUCGAAGCAGCACAAAGCCAGCAGGAGAAGUUCGUCUUCGACCAAUCGAUCCUUCGAAGCAGUACGAAACCUGCAGGAGCCCUUCGAAGUUCGAACCAGCACGAGGCUUUCGUCUUCGACCCUUCGAACCAGCAGGAGCUCUUCGUCUUCGAGCCUUUGAACAAGCAGGAGCCCUUCGUCUUCAAGGUUCGAGCCUUCGUGAGUCGUCGGGCUGCUUCGAUUUUCAAACUAGUCCUUUCUGGUAAGAUUGUCAGAUGUCCUAGAUGUUUGAUGGCUGUUGCAGUUGCACAACCCCAACAUGGGAUUCAGAUAGUGUCUUGUCCCAAGUGCCGCUACCAGUAUGAGCUUGUUUCUGGAGACAUAGUUAUUAUCAAGUCACAAAAAAUCAGGAUCUCCUCCUGCUGAACGCAGCAUGGAUGUUCCGGCAUGGGAAAGAACCCUAAACUUCCUGCAGAUGAUGAGAGAAAGCAGUGCAGCUGCCGUUCACUUCGUUGUGGUAUGAUCUUAAAUAUUUGGUUGUUGUUCCAAAGCACAACAGAAAUCAAGCAUCUUCUCUCAAUUGGAAGAAUCUGUUUAUAGAAGAAACUAAUAAGGAGGAAGAAUUGAGAUAUUGUAAACUGCGUAAUAUUGGUGGAAAAGUUCUUUUCAAGUUGAUCCUCUGUUGAAGUUUUUCUGCAUAGUCGAAAAAAGUGGAAUAAUAGUCUCAUUGGACAGUUUCUAGCACAUAGAAGGCAAAAGGAAAAUGGAAGCUAUGAAGGACUUAAUGUUCAUAUUUCUGGCAUAUUCCAUGCAGAUUCAAGAGCAAAAGAAGAAGACGUUUGUUUUUCAAUUUGUAAUUGCAUUUGGAUUUCUGGUAUGUAAUAAUGCACUGCAUGCAUGAUAAGAAUUUAUGCUCAAAGGCCAUAGACUGCCCAUAGGAACCGUACCCUUAAGAUAAAAUGCCACAACUUAUUAUAGGAUUGAAAAAGUUCAAGGGCAAAACAAGACAAAAGUAUUCAUCUUGAAGAGGCCCGGUCGACCGACCAAGCAUGCUCUAAAUGCUUCGGCCGACCGAAUCCAAUACUUAAUUAUUUUUAAAUGCUUGGCCGACCAAACUUUUAACUUGCAUGAAUCACGGUCGCCUGAACUCAUUUUGGCUUGCUUCUUAAGUGCUCGGUAGACUGACCUUCACGGUUUAAAUUGGGCCAGCCAACCCUUAAGUGCUCGUCAGACCCGCCUUCACGGUUUAAAUUGGGUCAGCCAAACGAACAUGCUCUCUCAGCUAACCGCCUUUUACCCACGAUCAACCGAACCUACGAAGGUUUGGGAAAUAGCCUUGGCCAGUCGACCGGUCACCUCCCACCACAAAUCGAACUCAGGAAUUGAUUUCAAAAUUGUGUGAGUGCUCAGCUGACUGGUCUUAGCCUUAGUCGAUCGAACCUUCAAUUUUUUACCGCACUAAUCAGGGGUUAAUUUUAAUUAAUUUUUUUCCAAAAUUCCCUCCGUGUCCCCAAAGGUCUAAAAUCUUGGGAACUCUAUAUAUAUCCAUUCAUUUUUCCUAAUUAGCAAGCAAAUUAGAAAAAUAGUUAACAAAUUUUCUCUAAAAAUAUUUGUGCUCCUAUUGCUCAUACUCUUGCAAAUUUUUCAAGCAUAUCACUCAUUCUCCUUACACUCUUGUUUGCAAAAUUAUUUUUUAAGGAGAUUCAUUGUUCAUACUCAUGACUUGCAAAUUAAUUGCAACUUGAAAGGAGUGUGUUAUUUAUUGUUGUGUAUUUUCAUAAAUCGUAUUUUGGGUUAAACUCUCGCAUGUCCUUUUCAUUUUUAAAACCCUUCUUGAGAGUUGAUUUAGAGAUAUUUCCUAUAUUAUUUCACAUUGAUAAAUAUUGUUGGGAAAGUCUUCUCUUAAGCUUGUGAGUCUUUUGGCAUUUCUAUUGCAAGACUCAAAAGCUCUUUUGAUACUUAUUGAUAAAAAUACUUUCAAGAGCUUUAUUAAACAUCCCCUUACUUUAUCUUGAAAUUAAUUUGUGGAGAUAUUGUUUGUGCAUUUGAUCUUUGUUGAACUCUUAAUAUAAAGUUGACUCAUAUCUCAAAGAUCAUUUUAUCUUACAUAUUGCUUGAGUGAGAUACUCUCACAUAAACUCUAUUGAGCAUAAAUAUCUAUCAUACUAGAGUGCAUUGGUAAUAUUGUGGUACACAUCUGCUUGUGUAAGAAGUAAAUUUCUUUAUACACAAAUUUGUUAUUAAUUGUUGUAUUCUCGGCAUGUGAUCAUCGAAAGAGGAUUGCAUUGGCCUAUAAUGUGUACCGGAUUGCUUAGACCCAGUUAAGAAAGUCCUGGAUGGUUUAGACCCGGUUAAGAAAAUCAAAUGCACAUUUCUAAGGUAUGAUUGUAAAGGUUGGGUUCAGCCCUAUAAUUUGACCUAAGGUAUUCUCUUGCCCAGUAAGGAAAGGGUAUUGUAAUCGGUGAUGCUCCACUCGUAAGUGAUCAAAGUUAGUGGAAUUCUCUUAUUUGUUAGCUCGAGGUGGGAACGUAGGCAAUAUUGGCCGAACCCCGAUAACA